GACGAACGCUGGCGGCGUGCUUAACACAUGCAAGUCGAACGGAAAGGCCCUGCUUUUGUGGGGUGCUCGAGUGGCGAACGGGUGAGUAACACGUGAGUAACCUGCCCUUGACUUUGGGAUAACUUCAGGAAACUGGGGCUAAUACCGGAUAGGAGCUCCUGCUGCAUGGUGGGGGUUGGAAAGUUUCGGCGGUUGGGGAUGGACUCGCGGCUUAUCAGCUUGUUGGUGGGGUAGUGGCUUACCAAGGCUUUGACGGGUAGCCGGCCUGAGAGGGUGACCGGCCACAUUGGGACUGAGAUACGGCCCAGACUCCUACGGGAGGCAGCAGUGGGGAAUAUUGCACAAUGGGCGGAAGCCUGAUGCAGCGACGCCGCGUGCGGGAAGACGGCCUUCGGGUUGUAAACCGCUUUCGCCUGUGACGAAGCGUGAGUGACGGUAAUGGGUAAAGAAGCACCGGCUAACUACGUG
rnacentral:rRNA from 1 species